UACGUAGGGGGCGAGCGUUGUCCGGAUUUAUUGGGCGUAAAGAGCGUGUAGGCGGUUCGGUAAGUCUGUCGUGAAAUCCUGAGGCUCAACCUCGGGCGUGCGAUGGAUACUGCCGGGCUAGAGGGUGGUAGAGGCGAGUGGAAUUCCUGGUGUAGCGGUGAAAUGCGCAGAUAUCAGGAGGAACACCGGUGGCGAAGGCGGAUCUCUGGGCCUUACCUGACGCUCAGGUGCGAAAGCUAGGGGAGCGAACAGG
rnacentral:rRNA from 1 species